rnacentral:rRNA from 1 species
GACGAACGCUGGCGGCGUGCUUAACACAUGCAAGUCGAACGAAGAGCGAUGGAAGCUUGCUUCUAUCAAUCUUAGUGGCGAACGGGUGAGUAACGCGUAAUCAACCUGCCCUUCAGAGGGGGACAACAGUUGGAAACGACUGCUAAUACCGCAUCCGAUCUAACCUCGGCAUCGCGGACAGAUGAAGGGGGGCCUCUACAUGUAAGCUAUGAGUGGAGGAGGGGAUUGGGUCUGAUUAGCUAGGUGGAGGGGGAAGGGCCCACCAAGGCGAUGGUCAGUAGCACGUCUGAGAUGAUCAACGGCCACACUUGGAACUAGACACGGCCCAAACUCCUACGGGAAGCAACAGUCGGGAAUCUUCCGACAUUGACGAAAGUCUUACGGAGCAACUCCGCGGUAUGUAGUACCGCCUUCGGGUUUUAAAACUCUUUUAAUCGGGAAAAAAGGCCUUCUUGCUAAUAGGUAGAAGGAUUGACGGUACCGGAAUAGAAAGCCACGGCUAACUACGUG